rnacentral:lncRNA from 1 species
AAACGGAGAGUCCCCAGGCACAAGAAAUCUUCUGUAGACACUUCAGUACAGAAACUAUGAGAUUGGGCGGCGCCAAGGAGGGCGCUGCAGGAACCUUCUUGGCGAUCUGGAAGCCUAGAGAACCAUUUUUUUUUUUUUUAAACUAGAAACAAAGUAAAGAAAAGAGAUGGGGUGGGGUUUGGUGGUCUGGCCCGCCGGAAGGAGCUUGGGUGGAGCCGACUGUGCAAGCUUCAGGGCAGAGGUCGGUGCCCUUUCCUAACUCCACUGAAUUAGAUUUGUAGUACGAGUGAGUGAAGACCCCCGGUCCACCACCUCAACCCCGGCCCCGCCCCAUCGGCCUGGCCCGGGGCUGGGAGCAGAGGAUGCCUUUGGAGGCGCAGAAUCCGAAAUGUUAUCUGGCUGCUUAAAGCUUCUAGCUGUGAGUUGGGAGGGCUCCAUCUUGCCCAGCUUCUUAAAGCGGCAGUGCACCAGUUCUGAUGUGGGAAAUACUGAAAAUUCGAUUUCGAAAAGGAUGGCAUUGACUCAUCUUUACUAUGACACAAGGUGUGUUGGGGGAAUUUGUACGGAGAGGCAAGUUUUUCCUCCUUAUACCAGCCUCCAAACUUGUUCUAAUAUCCAGUUGAUUCUCAGGAGGCGCAUCCUGGGCUAUGCUGCCAAGUUGUACAUUAGUUAACUGCAGAGUCAACUGGCCUUGCAGUUUUAGCUCAAGAGGAAAAUUUAUCAAGAUUUGAAAAAAUAAUUUAUUUUACAAAUAUUUAUCAAAAGCUAGGUUCAUUGUCUGUGACUAAUCCCACUGCUGAAUGUCUGUAAUAUGUCAGGACAAUGUAGAGUGAUGUCACUGACUCCUUUAUUAACAGAUUGGUGGCCAAGGUUUCUUUCUAGAGUCGAAUGUUGAAUUUGAUUUCAGCAUUUAUCAAGCAUGUGUCACGUGAAGGUUCCCAUUAUUCAUCUUUAUUGUCUUGUCUUUAGUACCAAGCAUCCAUAUGCCCUAACCCAAGUGAUUGGGAGAUUCAGCUGAAAGAGAUAGGAACUCAAGUCAAAAUGGCAUGCAAAGAGAGAAGGGCAGGAUGUUUCAAUAGGGAAGCUAAAGGCUACCUUGACUGAUCUGUUAUUCCCAUGUCCAUGUCCAACCUGGAAGAUUGUCUUGGGCAGGAGGGCUUUACCAGCUCCCUUCUGCUGUUAAAUAAAAGAACUAGUGUGGUGGAAACUUGUUAGAAG